AAAAAUAAAAAAAUAAAAAAUAAAAAAGAAAACUUUUUGUGGGCUUACUCAUUACCAUUUCAAAAUCGCAGUUUUCCAAUUGCCUACACCUAUAUACCAGCUCCUUCUGCUCUUUUGCUAAAAAAACAAAGCAAAAUGUCUG
rnacentral:ribozyme from 1 species